UUAAGCGACUAAGCGUACACGGUGGAUGCCCUGGCAGUCAGAGGCGAUGAAGGACGUGCUAAUCUGCGAUAAGCGUCGGUGAGGUGAUAUGAACCGUUAUAACCGGCGAUUUCCGAAUGGGGAAACCCAGUGUGUUUCGACACACUAUCAUUAACUGAAUCCAUAGGUUAAUGAGGCGAACCGGGGGAACUGAAACAUCUAAGUACCCCGAGGAAAAGAAAUCAACCGAGAUUCCCCCAGUAGCGGCGAGCGAACGGGGAGGAGCCCAGAGCCUGAAUCAGUGUGUGUGUUAGUGGAAGCGUCUGGAAAGGCGCGCGAUACAGGGUGACAGCCCCGUACACAAAAAUGCACAUAUUGUGAGCUCGAUGAGUAGGGCGGGACACGUGGUAUCCUGUCUGAAUAUGGGGGGACCAUCCUCCAAGGCUAAAUACUCCUGACUGACCGAUAGUGAACCAGUACCGUGAGGGAAAGGCGAAAAGAACCCCGGCGAGGGGAGUGAAAAAGAACCUGAAACCGUGUACGUACAAGCAGUGGGAGCCUCUUAAUGGGGUGACUGCGUACCUUUUGUAUAAUGGGUCAGCGACUUAUAUUCUGUAGCAAGGUUAACCGAAUAGGGGAGCCGAAGGGAAACCGAGUCUUAACUGGGCGUUAAGUUGCAGGGUAUAGACCCGAAACCCGGUGAUCUAGCCAUGGGCAGGUUGAAGGUUGGGUAACACUAACUGGAGGACCGAACCGACUAAUGUUGAAAAAUUAGCGGAUGACUUGUGGCUGGGGGUGAAAGGCCAAUCAAACCGGGAGAUAGCUGGUUCUCCCCGAAAGCUAUUUAGGUAGCGCCUCGUGAAUUCAUCUCCGGGGGUAGAGCACUGUUUCGGCAAGGGGGUCAUCCCGACUUACCAACCCGAUGCAAACUGCGAAUACCGGAGAAUGUUAUCACGGGAGACACACGGCGGGUGCUAACGUCCGUCGUGAAGAGGGAAACAACCCAGACCGCCAGCUAAGGUCCCAAAGUCAUGGUUAAGUGGGAAACGAUGUGGGAAGGCCCAGACAGCCAGGAUGUUGGCUUAGAAGCAGCCAUCAUUUAAAGAAAGCGUAAUAGCUCACUGGUCGAGUCGGCCUGCGCGGAAGAUGUAACGGGGCUAAACCAUGCACCGAAGCUGCGGCAGCGACACUAUGUGUUGUUGGGUAGGGGAGCGUUCUGUAAGCCUGUGAAGGUGGCCUGUGAGGGUUGCUGGAGGUAUCAGAAGUGCGAAUGCUGACAUAAGUAACGAUAAAGCGGGUGAAAAGCCCGCUCGCCGGAAGACCAAGGGUUCCUGUCCAACGUUAAUCGGGGCAGGGUGAGUCGACCCCUAAGGCGAGGCCGAAAGGCGUAGUCGAUGGGAAACAGGUUAAUAUUCCUGUACUUGGUGUUACUGCGAAGGGGGGACGGAGAAGGCUAUGUUGGCCGGGCGACGGUUGUCCCGGUUUAAGCGUGUAGGCUGGUUUUCCAGGCAAAUCCGGAAAACCAAGGCUGAGGCGUGAUGACGAAGCACUACGGUGCUGAAGCGACAAAUGCCCUGCUUCCAGGAAAAGCCUCUAAGCAUCAGGUAACAUCAAAUCGUACCCCAAACCGACACAGGUGGUCAGGUAGAGAAUACCAAGGCGCUUGAGAGAACUCGGGUGAAGGAACUAGGCAAAAUGGUGCCGUAACUUCGGGAGAAGGCACGCUGAUAUGUAGGUGAAGCGACUUGCUCGUGGAGCUGAAAUCAGUCGAAGAUACCAGCUGGCUGCAACUGUUUAUUAAAAACACAGCACUGUGCAAACACGAAAGUGGACGUAUACGGUGUGACGCCUGCCCGGUGCCGGAAGGUUAAUUGAUGGGGUUAGCGGCAACGCGAAGCUCUUGAUCGAAGCCCCGGUAAACGGCGGCCGUAACUAUAACGGUCCUAAGGUAGCGAAAUUCCUUGUCGGGUAAGUUCCGACCUGCACGAAUGGCGUAAUGAUGGCCAGGCUGUCUCCACCCGAGACUCAGUGAAAUUGAACUCGCUGUGAAGAUGCAGUGUACCCGCGGCAAGACGGAAAGACCCCGUGAACCUUUACUAUAGCUUGACACUGAACAUUGAGCCUUGAUGUGUAGGAUAGGUGGGAGGCUUUGAAGUGUGGACGCCAGUCUGCAUGGAGCCGACCUUGAAAUACCACCCUUUAAUGUUUGAUGUUCUAACGUGGGCCCGUAAUCCGGGUUGCGGACAGUGUCUGGUGGGUAGUUUGACUGGGGCGGUCUCCUCCUAAAGAGUAACGGAGGAGCACGAAGGUUGGCUAAUCCUGGUCGGACAUCAGGAGGUUAGUGCAAUGGCAUAAGCCAGCUUGACUGCGAGCGUGACGGCGCGAGCAGGUGCGAAAGCAGGUCAUAGUGAUCCGGUGGUUCUGAAUGGAAGGGCCAUCGCUCAACGGAUAAAAGGUACUCCGGGGAUAACAGGCUGAUACCGCCCAAGAGUUCAUAUCGACGGCGGUGUUUGGCACCUCGAUGUCGGCUCAUCACAUCCUGGGGCUGAAGUAGGUCCCAAGGGUAUGGCUGUUCGCCAUUUAAAGUGGUACGCGAGCUGGGUUUAGAACGUCGUGAGACAGUUCGGUCCCUAUCUGCCGUGGGCGCUGGAGAACUGAGGGGGGCUGCUCCUAGUACGAGAGGACCGGAGUGGACGCAUCACUGGUGUUCGGGUUGUCAUGCCAAUGGCACUGCCCGGUAGCUAAAUGCGGAAGAGAUAAGUGCUGAAAGCAUCUAAGCACGAAACUUGCCCCGAGAUGAGUUCUCCCUGACUCCUUGAGGGUCCUGAAGGAACGUUGAAGACGACGACGUUGAUAGGCCGGGUGUGUAAGCGCAGCGAUGCGUUGAGCUAACCGGUACUAAUGAACCGUGAGGCUUAACCUU
rnacentral:rRNA from 1 species